UACGGAGGGGGCUAGCGUUGUUCGGAAUUACUGGGCGUAAAGCGCACGUAGGCGGCUUUGUAAGUUAGAGGUGAAAGCCCGGGGCUCAACUCCGGAAUUGCCUUUAAGACUGCAUCGCUAGAAUUGUGGAGAGGUAAGUGGAAUUCCGAGUGUAGAGGUGAAAUUCGUAGAUAUUCGGAAGAACACCAGUGGCGAAGGCGGCAUCCUGGACCGACACUGACGCUGAGGAGCGAAAGCCAGGGGAGCAAACGGG
rnacentral:rRNA from 1 species